GUCUUAGUGGUGUAGUGGUAAGCACGCUCAACGCGUAUUCGACAGGUCCGUGGUUCGAAUCCCGGCGAAGGCA
rnacentral:tRNA from 1 species